GUCUAUCUGCAGUCGACGCGCAGCGAGAGGUGCUUGCACCUUUCAAGCGAGUGGGAAGGGUGAGUAACACGUGGAUAACCUGCCUCAAGGCUGGGGAUAACAUUUGGAAACAGAUGCUAAUACCGAAUAAAACUUAGUAUCGCAUGAUAUCAAGUUAAAAGGCGCUACGGCGUCACCUAGAGAUGGAUCCGCGGUGCAUUAGUUAGUUGGUGGGGUAAAGGCUUACCAAGACAAUGAUGCAUAGCCGAGUUGAGAGACUGAUCGGCCACAUUGGGACUGAGACACGGCCCAAACUCCUACGGGAGGCUGCAGUAGGGAAUCUUCCACAAUGGGCGCAAGCCUGAUGGAGCAACGCCGCGUGUGUGAUGAAGGCUUUCGGGUCGUAAAGCACUGUUGUAUGGGAAGAAAUGCUAAAAUAGGGAAUGAUUUUAGUUUGACGGUACCAUACCAGAAAGGGACGGCUAAAUACGUGCCAGCAGCCGCGGUAAUACGUAUGUCCCGAGCGUUAUCCGGAUUUAUUGGGCGUAAAGCGAGCGCAGACGGUUGAUUAAGUCUGAUGUGAAAGCCCGGAGCUCAACUCCGGAAUGGCAUUGGAAACUGGUUAACUUGAGUGUUGUAGAGGUAAGUGGAACUCCAUGUGUAGC
rnacentral:rRNA from 1 species